rnacentral:rRNA from 1 species
UACGGGAGGCAGCAGUGGGGAAUAUUGCACAAUGGGCGCAAGCCUGAUGCAGCCAUGCCGCGUGUAUGAAGAAGGCCUUCGGGUUGUAAAGUACUUUCAGUCGUGAGGAAGGUGUUAAGGUUAAUAACCUUAGCAAUUGACGUUAGCGACAGAAGAAGCACCGGCUAACUCCGUGCCAGCAGCCGCGGUAAUACGGAGGGUGCGAGCGUUAAUCGGAAUUACUGGGCGUAAAGGGCACGCAGGCGGUUAAUUAAGUUGGAUGUGAAAUCCCCGGGCUUAACCUGGGAAUGGCAUUCAAGACUGGUUAGCUAGAGUCUUGUAGAGGGGGUAGAAUUCCAUGUGUAGCGGUGAAAUGCGUAGAGAUGUGGAGGAAAUACCGGGUGGCGAAGGCGGCCCCUGGGACAAAGACUGACGCUCAUGUGCGAAAGCGUGGGGAGCAAAACAGGGAUUAGAUACC